UGUGAGGAGUUUCUGAGAAUCAGUGGCAUAUCACUUGAGUCGACAUUUAUGUCAGAGUUGGACAGGCAAACUCCAAAGCUGUUGUCACUUUUCAACGCAAAAGGAGGAGUUGUCGGUCAAAGAAUCAAGUCCCAGAUGAUGACACUUAUCCAGGACCCAUCUGCCUCUGUGGAGAAAAGGAGAGAAGUGGUCCUGAGAUGCCUGAUUGAGUACAUGGGGGAGAGACAGGAAGACCUCAUCAGUGUCCACCACAGUCAUGAUGAAACAGAGGUGCACGCUGAGCUUGGCAGUUGCCCACUGAAAAUUUACAUAUGCCAUCAGCCCGACAUGAUUGGGAUCAUCAUAGAAGGACAGCCUGUGGUCAGAGGUGUGCCAAACCUGUCGAAAGCAUGCUGCCUCCUGUUUGGACUUACCUAUGCCCUCGACCUCAAGUAUCCCUCAAAAAUGGUGUAUACUUUUGUAUAUAUAUAUAUGUAUGUAUAUAUAUUAUAUCUCUUUGUGGGAUUGGACCCCAUGCGUCCUAAGCCAUCAUCCAAGUAUGCAAAUCUCCUUACCAAGUUGUCUUAGAUUAUUUCUCAGUGGCAACUGGCAUUGUUUGCCGUCAUUAGAAAAAAUUCAGUCACUUUG